rnacentral:lncRNA from 1 species
CAGGUGGAUCCGGUGGGCGGCUGGCUGGCAAAGUCAUGGCAUUCUUCCCCAUUGGAACCCCCUGACAAGCAUCCCAGGAGAUCCCUUGCCGACGCUGCGCAGCCGCCCUCGGUACUCAAAGAGAGCAACGCCAACACGGCGGCCGCGAGGCGGCCGCCUCCCUUGGCCGAGGGCCUUCCUCUUCCCCCAUCCAAGGAACGGUGGGAUCACUCGCCGCACAGCAUUCCUCCCAACUCUGAUCCGAAGAAGUUCAAGCGACAAGCCUUCUCGGGGCCUCUGCCGAGUAAAGGCUGGUCGAGUAAGCCCCUCUUCUGCGUCCCCUCUGCACAGCACCAGGCGGUCUCUCCGAUACCCCCCCGUGUGCCCACACCUCCGCGCUCUGUGUCUCCCAGGGUGUCGCCCACUGCCUCCCCCCCUCUCAUGCCCUCCCCUAGAAUAAGCGAGCUGCACGAGCUUCCCAGACCGCCGAGCGUCUCCUUGGACCUCCCCAGGCCCUCCUCCGUCUUGGUUGGCCAUUCCGCUCCUCUGGUCUCCAGAGCUCAGGAGCCUUCUGGAGGAGGCAGAGCUCCACUUUUUGCAGCAAGGAUGGCGUCUCCGUUGCCGACGCCUCCGGGCGCCAUGUCGCGGAGCUUC